GAUGCACAGCUGCUAAAAACCGGACGCAAUCAAAACUCGAAAAGGGUUAAGAAGUUUAAAUCGGAACGCAAUAGGAUGACAACCGUCCUCCUAUUGGAAACUCCUGAGGCAUGUUACUAUUUUUGUAAUCGAAUCAUAUUAUAUUAUGUAGUGUGAUGACGCAUAGUGAAUACAAUAUACAGUUGAAUGUAUGUGUUGACGCGAUUUCGAUAAUAUUUGAUGGCAUUAUCGUCGGUGCUAAAACGAAUAUAGUUCCAGGGAAAAUCAUUGGGUGAAAAGAAAAGAUAAUAAUAUUAUUUAGUAUAGGUAAGUAUAAGAUACCUAACGUGGUUAUUCGAUUACCGCUCUGUAAAUAUUAUAUUAUCUGAAAUCGCUUCUCUGA